GUCUCCUGAACGCAGACCCAGCUUUAUCAGUUUUGCUCCUGGCUUUACUUUUCUAUGCUCUUUGCCACUUAAGUCUACAAAUAUUUGCUAAUAUUUGAUGUUACGCUAAAACCCACAUGGUUAGGGGGAUUGUAUCCUCAUACACUACUCAAUGAAGCAAAGAAGCAAACAAGAACAAGAACAGAACUACUCAACUGGUUAUUUCCAUGAUUCCUAAAAAUUACUAAAAUGCUUUUUCAAAAGGUAGAAUGGAUGUUUAAUGCAAGGCUUGAAGAGAUACUGGGGUGCCUUUUUCUGAUUCUGCCUGACACACACACACACACACUCUAAAAAAAAAAAAAAAGAGAGUCUGCUGGAGUAUGGCACUGUGACUUGAACUGAAUGAGAAAUAAUUAGCUGUUAUGCUUCCUUUAGGUACUGGAAGACCUCAACAAAGUCUCCCUGGAACCUCCUCCAGGCUAAACAAGCCCAACUGUCUCAGCUGGUCUUUGUAGGAGAGAUGCUCCAUUCCUCUGAUCAUCUUCAUGGCCUUCCUCUGGACCCACUUCAACAGCUCCCUGUCUUUCUUAUGUUGAUGUCCACAGAGCUCAAUACAGUUCUCCAGGUGGGAUCUCACAAGAGAUGAGUCAAGGAAGCUAGGCACUUUCAUGAAGAGCUAGCAGAGUUUUGACGUGUUGAAGUAUAUUUAAAAUAUGUUAAUAUUUAAACCAUUAUCAAUAAAGAAAUAGAAAGCAG
rnacentral:lncRNA from 1 species